rnacentral:rRNA from 1 species
UACGAAGGGGGCUAGCGUUGUUCGGAUUUACUGGGCGUAAAGCGCACGUAGGCGGAUUGUUAAGUCAGGGGUGAAAUCCUGGAGCUCAACUCCAGAACUGCCUUUGAUACUGAAAGUCUUGAGUAUGGGAGAGGUGAGUGGAACUGCGAGUGUAGAGGUGAAAUUCGUAGAUAUUCGCAAGAACACCAGUGGCGAAGGCGGCUCACUGGCCCAUAACUGACGCUGAGGCACGAAAGCGUGGGGAGCAAACAGG